rnacentral:rRNA from 1 species
CCUACGGGUGGCAGCGGUGGGGAAUAUUGGACAAUGGGCGAAAGCCUGAUCCAGCCAUGCCGCGUGUGUGAAGAAGGCCUUCGGGUUGUAAAGCACUUUCAGUGGGGAAGAAAGCCUUGGGGCUAAUACCCUCGAGGAAGGACAUCACCCACAGAAGAAGCACCGGCUAACUCCGUGCCAGCAGCCGCGGUAAUACGGAGGGUGCGAGCGUUAAUCGGAAUUACUGGGCGUAAAGCGCGCGUAGGCGGUCUGAUAAGCCGGUUGUGAAAGCCCCGGGCUCAACCUGGGAACGGCAUCCGGAACUGUCAGGCUAGAGUGCAGGAGAGGAAGGUAGAAUUCCCGGUGUAGCGGUGAAAUGCGUAGAGAUCGGGAGGAAUACCAGUGGCGAAGGCGGCCUUCUGGACUGACACUGACGCUGAGGUGCGAAAGCGUGGGUAGCAAACAGGAUUAGAUACCCCAGUAGUC